GACGAACGCUGGCGGCGUGCUUAACACAUGCAAGUCGAACGGGCCUGUCUUCUUUUUUGGGGGUGGGUUGAGUGGCGAACGGGUGAGUAUCACGUGAGUAACCUGCCCUUCGGUCCUGGAUAACCGCUUGAAAGGGCGGCUAAUACGGGGUGGUCCGGUUGGUCCGCAUGGGCUGGUCGGGAUAGAUUCACUGUUUUUGGUGUUUCGGCGGGGGAUGGGCUCGCGGCCUAUCAGCUUGUUGGUGGGGUGAUGGCCUACCAAGGCGGUGACGGGUAGCCGGCCUGAGAGGGUGGGCGGCCAGACUGGGACUGAGAUACCGCCCAGACACCUGCGGGAGGAAGCAGUGGGGGGUAUUGCACAAUGGGCGGAAGCCUGAUGCAGCGACGUCGCGUGAGGGAUGGAGGCCUUCGGGUUGUGAACCUCUGUUUCCGGUGGUGAAGGCCCUGUCCGUGUGGUGGGGUUGACGGUAGCCGGGGAUGAAGCGCCGGCUAACUACGUG
rnacentral:rRNA from 1 species